UUUGUUGCACGAUGGAUUCAGAUGGAGCGAGUCUGUAAUUAGGUAAUGAUGUGCACCUGCUCUAGUUUCCCCUCAAACCUUUGCAUGCACUUCUGUUUGGCGGUGCGAUUGUGUAAAAGAAAGCCAGCUUUAUUGGCACUGAUGUGAAGUGGAAACUGAGUUUUGUUCAUUAUAUUUUGUAAACAUUGUGUUUAUUUUCGACUGGCACCUAAUAGCAGACUUCUUAGAAAUGAACAGAAUGUCACCUUGAAUAUCUGGGGAAGAAGAGACCUGGAUUACCUUCUCGCAGAUAUCGUGCAAGGCAGCGGCGAGGACUCGAUAGGCGGCGGUCUUCCCUCCGAACGGCUCUCCUACCAUCAUGAAGCCGUGACGCACGAUCAUCAUCUCGAAAAUCUGCAGGAUCUUCUCUGCAAAGAAAUCAGUCACCUGCAGGAUAUCAUCCGGUCCUGUCGACCAAAGACGUUUUUUCUGAUGAUGAUCUAAUACCAGCCCUGCCAAAGUUUACACUUCAUACAACGUGUGGUCCUUCUGCAAUGGCUUCAUGGAUGUGUUUGGUCCAGUACACCUGAGACACACACAGCACUGUCUGACCCGGCCAGGCUCGCACCCAGUCGUUCCUAUCCUGUUUAGGGUACGCUUCGAGUGCCUCG